rnacentral:rRNA from 1 species
CCUACGGGGGGCUGCAGUGGGGAAUAUUGGACAAUGGGGGGAACCCUGAUCCAGCCAUGCCGCGUGUGUGAAGAAGGCCCUCGGGUUGUAAAGCACUUUCAGUGAGGAAGAACGCCUGGUGGUUAAUACCCAUCAGGAAAGACAUCACUCACAGAAGAAGCACCGGCUAACUCCGUGCCAGCAGCCGCGGUAAUACGGAGGGUGCGAGCGUUAAUCGGAAUUACUGGGCGUAAAGCGCGCGUAGGUGGCUUGAUAAGCCGGUUGUGAAAGCCCCGGGCUCAACCUGGGAACGGCAUCCGGAACUGUCAAGCUAGAGUGCAGGAGAGGAAGGUAGAAUUCCCGGUGUAGCGGUGAAAUGCGUAGAAAUCGGGAGGAAUACCAGUGGCGAAGGCGGCCUUCUGGACUGACACUGACACUGAGGUGCGAAAGCGUGGGUAGCAAACAGGAUUAGAUACCCCUGUAGUC